UCAGCAGGACUGAGCAUAAUUGCAGACAUUCCUUGGGACAUGGAGGAGUCCUUGUGCCUGCAACCAUCUCCCUGGAAGCACUGGGCAUAGCAGCUGAAGGGCUCCCUCACAUGUCUGUGACUAGCUGUGUUUUUCAGAGCUCCUGCCACAAAUCUGUGAUUCCCUCUAGAAUUCCAACACAUAACUGAGUAGAGUGGCCAAUUAUGGUGGAAUAUGAUUCUUCUUUGUUCUUCAGCAUAUUUAUAGACAGAUGCACAUUCAGGGAUCUACGAGAGAGUACCAGAGCAGACUCAACAAAGCAAAACUACAGAGAGGAGCAAUAGGCUUUUGUGAAUGCCUGGCAUCCAAACAGGGUCAACCCACAACACCACCCAAGUGCAAGAUGGAUGAUAAGAGAUGACAUAGGUGGCAAAAUACAAUGAACCAAUGAGAUAUUAAUGACUGUUCAGAACUGCACUUGGCAGAAUAUUGUUCACAAUGGAUUUUUGCAAUAAACUUUAAGUCUUAGUAUAAAGAGCUCUACAUGUGUUUGUGGAGAGACAGAUUAAAAAAUGUGAAGAACAAAACAACUAACAAAGUAUUCCUUUAAAUUGUGGAAGUG